UAUGGUCAUAUACAUUUGUUAUAUUUAAUUGACAUUUCCUAAUUACUAAAGUUUUACAUUAUCCUUGCCAAACAAUCAUAAUUCUUCUGUAAAUUACUGGAGCAUAGAUUCAAAUUAUCUUCUGUUGAUAAACGACUUCUAGCUCAUGUGGAUACCUUUGACCUUACCAACCUUUAAGCUGUAUGUCAUUAGAAUGUUCCUAUCUUCUGACAACUUAAGAGGCCACCUAAAGGUAUCAAAAGGAUUUUGGCUGACUUUGUACUUUUUCCAACCGGAUGCAUUUCCUGCUUUUAGAAUAGAGUGAAUAGAAAGUUAUCCAGUGGUCAUCUAUCAGAUCCCGCUUCAUCUACAUUAAACCCGGACGUCAUCAUAGACAAUCUGCGCAUGCACAGAAGCUCGUGUGCUCCCAUUGCGAACUGGUAGUAAAGCAGGAACCUCCCUAUGGAAUUCACCAUCUGGCGUUGCAUUACAUUCAGCUGCCUGAGGGACAACUGAUCAACCACAUCAAGGGAAUCUUGAUUUAGAUUUUGAGCACAAACAAGAGGAUCUCUAACCCAACCUUUUACAAUUUGAUGUUCCUGCCAGAAGUGUUUGGAGCUUCACCCUCAGCAUUCCCUGCCUGUAAGCCGAUCAUGAGUUCAUAGAGUUGGCAAAAGCUAAUCUAGGUCCUUGCAUUACAUCAUUGUGCUAGAAUAAACUCAUUUAAACUAACUGAUUUCCACUAUUUUUGUAAUAUGCUGCUUCUGCUGUGUGGGGAACUGCAUUGUCCUCAUAGGGAAAGAAGAUAAGAAUGAGCAGAUAAACAUGGAGAACUUGUGUGUAUAAGUACAUGAAUCAGCUUGCCAGUACAAGGGAAGCUUGUUUCCUUGCCAACAAGGAUAAAUGGACCCUGAGUUA